rnacentral:rRNA from 1 species
AAUGAACGUUGGCGGCGUGGAUUAGGCAUGCAAGUCGUACGAGAAUCGUAGCAAUACGAGGAAAGUGGCGGAAGGGAGAGGAUUACGUGGGAAUCUACCCUCAGAACUGGGAUAGCGGCGGGAAACUGCCGGUAAUACCAGAUAAUGUCUGUGGACCAAAGGUGUGAUUCCGUCUGGGGAUGAGCCCACGUCCUAUUAGCUAGUUGGCAGGGUAAUGGCCUACCAAGGCAAUGAUGGGUAGCGGGUGUGAGAGCAUGACCCGCCUCACUGGGACUGAGAACAGCCCGGACACCUACGGGUGGCUGCAGUCGAGAAUCUUCGGCAAUGAGCGCAAGCUUGACCGAGCGACGCCGCGUGCGGGAUGAAGGCCUUCGGGUUGUAAACCGCUGUCGUAGGGGAGCAAGAGAUGAGGGUACUCCCUCUGAUUUGAGCGAUCCUAGGAGGAAGGACGGGCUAAGUUCGUGCCAGCAGCCGCAGUAAAAC